rnacentral:rRNA from 1 species
AUGGAGGAGUACGGGCGCCGGCUGGUCGCGGCUGGGUCCGACAACCUCACCCUCGAGGCGCUCUUCCGGUCCGAGCCCGCGGCGGGGAGGCCCGUGCGCGCGCUGGUGCACGACCUCCCGGCUGCAUAUCGUGGAAGGGGCUGCCGAGUGUUGUUGGUCAACUCGUUCCAUGAUACCGAGCUGACGGUGAGGUACCUUGCUCUUGCCCGCAACCUGUUUGCUGUUUUGCUCAAGAGGCAGGUGGACCAAAACCCAGCUGGAGUGAUAAGAUGA